rnacentral:rRNA from 1 species
ACGGGGGGGGCAAGCGUUGUUCGGAAUUACUGGGCGUAAAGGGCGCGUAGGCGGUCGGAUAAGUCAGCUGUGAAAACCACGGGCUUAACUCGUGGCCUGCAGUUGAGACUGUCUGGCUUGAGUGUGGGAGAGGAGAGUGGAAUUCCUGGUGUAGCGGUGAAAUGCGUAGAUAUCAGGAGGAACACCGGUGGCGAAGGCGGCUCUCUGGACCACAACUGACGCUGAGGCGCGAAAGCUAGGGGAGCAAACAGGAUUAGAUACCCUGGUAGUCCUAGCUGUAAACGAUGGAUACUUGCUGUGGGGGGUGUUAAAUCCCCCUGUGGCGGAGCUAACGCAUUAAGUAUCCCGCCUGGGGAGUACGGUCGCAAGGCUG